rnacentral:rRNA from 1 species
ACUCCUACGGGAGGCAGCAGUGGGGAAUAUUGCACAAUGGGGGAAAGCCCUCGAUGCAGCAACGCCGCGUGGAGGAUGACACAUUUCGGUGCGUAAACUCCUUUUAUAUAAGAAGAUAAUGACGGUAUUAUAUGAAUAAGCGCCGGCUAACUCCGUGCCAGCAGCCGCGGUAAUACGGAGGGCGCAAGCGUUACUCGGAAUCACUGGGCGUAAAGAGCGUGUAGGCGGGUUUGUAAGUUGGGAGUGAAAUCCUAUGGCUCAACCAUAGAACUGCUUCCAAAACUGCUUACCUAGAAUGAGGGAGAGGUAGAUGGAAUUUCUGGUGUAGGGGGUAAAAUCCGUAGAGAUCAGAAGGAAUACCGAUUGCGAAGGCGAUCUACUGGAACUUUAUUGACGCUGAGACGCGAAAGCGUGGGGAGCAAACAGGAUUGGAUACCCUGGUAGGAUAGCG